UUGUGCUCCACACCUUUAAUUUGAAUCUCAGACUCUCUCUCUCUUUCAUCUUCUUCUCAGAAAAAAAAACUUAUCUCUUUUUCUGGUCUCUCUCUACCUCUCUCUAUCUGGUCUUACUGCUCCAAAUUCACCAUGAUCGAUUACCCUGGACAGUCUGAAUUGGGUUGCAGAGAUUGAAGAGAUUUCAGACUGUGUUCGUGGAGAGCGAGGUUGCGAAUCACCUGGGAUGAAAAAGCUAUAAGCCAUUACAACUCGUUCGUCGUGCUUGAACCUAAGACCUGGGAUGAAGCUCCUGUGGAUAACACAAACAGCACUGAGUAGGAGGCUGAAACCAUGGCAGCGAUUAAACCCAAGAAGAUCAUCAUUGAGAUCCUGAUUUCGGCCAAAUCAAUUGCAAAUUGAAGCUGCUCUUCUUGCUUUCCCUUGUACUCACCAACUUGAUUAAGCCAUCCAUCCCCAGAAAGAUGAGAUAAAAUGAAUAAUAUCAAGAAUCUAAUCAAUUUCAAUUUCGGAACUACAAAGAAGCAAGAGGACUGAGGACUCAGUACUGGACCAUGAAUAGACGCGAUCGUUGACCAAAAACAAAAAAAAUAAAAUAGAAGCAAUCGAAACUCUGAUUCCUACCCAUGGUCCCCACCAUGUCAGAAGAAGCCACACACAACAAAAUGAGACAAUUAAGGAGAAAGCAACCCCUCCACAGGGCACUGACAUGAAAGAAAGUGGCUGCAUCGUGGCAAUGGAUGAUAGACACGUACAUGUGUGGCAUUUGCCCAAAUAUGUCACCAAUAGUGUAUGUGGCUAUUGCCCAUAAUUCUA